rnacentral:rRNA from 1 species
CCAGCCAUGCCGCGUGCAGGAUGACGGUCCUAUGGAUUGUAAACUGCUUUUGCACAGGAAGAAACACUACUUCGUGAAGUAGCUUGACGGUACUGUGAGAAUAAGGAUCGGCUAACUCCGUGCCAGCAGCCGCGGUAAUACGGAGGAUCCAAGCGUUAUCCGGAAUCAUUGGGUUUAAAGGGUCCGUAGGCGGGCUCGUAAGUCAGUGGUGAAAGCCCAUCGCUCAACGAUGGAACGGCCAUUGAUACUGCGAGUCUUGAAUUAUUAGGAAGUAACUAGAAUAUGUAGUGUAGCGGUGAAAUGCUUAGAGAUUACAUGGAAUACCAAUUGCGAAGGCAGGUUACUACAAAUGGAUUGACGCUGAUGGACGAAAGCGUGGGUAGCGAACGAGGAUUAGAUACCCUCGUAGUCCACGCCGUAAACGAUGGAUACUAGCUGUUCGGAAGCAAUUCUGAGUGGCUAAGCGAAAGUGAUAAGUAUCCCACCUGGGGAGUACGAACGCAAGUUUGAAACUCAAA